rnacentral:rRNA from 1 species
CUUGCUUUCUUUGCUGGCGACCGGCGCACGGGUGAGUAACACGUAUCCAACCUGCCCUUUACUCGGGGAUAGCCUUUCGAAAGAAAGAUUAAUACCCGAUAGCGUAAUGAUUCCGCAUGGUUUCAUUAUUAAAGGAUUCCGGUAAAGGAUGGGGAUGCGUUCCAUUAGGUUGUUGGUGAGGUAACGGCCCACCAAGCCUUCGAUGGAUAGGGGUUCUGAGAGGAAGGUCCCCCACAUUGGAACUGAGACACGGUCCAA